rnacentral:rRNA from 1 species
GACGUAGGUGGCGAACGUUAUCCGGAAUUAUUGGGCGUAAAGGGCUCGUAGGCGGUCCAUCGCGUCGGGAGUGAAAAGCUGGGGCUUAACCCCCAGUCCUGCUUCCGAUACGGGUGGACUAGAGGUAGGUAGGGGAGACUGGAAUUCCAGGUGUAGCGGUGAAAUGCGUAGAUAUCUGGAAGAACACCAGUGGCGAAGGCGGUCAACUGGCCCGUAACUGACGCUCAGGCACGAAAAGCGUGGGUAGCGAACAGG